rnacentral:rRNA from 1 species
GUGUGGUAGGGGCAGAGGGAAUUCCCGGUGUAGCGGUGAAAUGCGUAAAUAUCGGGAAGAACACCAGUGGCGAAGGCGCUCUGCUGGGCCAUAACUGACGCUCAUGGACGAAAGCCAGGGAGCGAAAGAGCUUAGAUACCCCUGUAGUCCUGGCCGUAAAUGAUGAACACUAGGUGUCGGGGGAAUCGACCCCCUCGGUGUCGUAGCCAACGCGUUAAGUGUUCCGCCUGGGGAGUACGCACGCAAGUGUGAAACUCAAAGGAAUUGACGGGGGCCCGCACAAGCGGUGGAGUAUGUGGUUUAAUUCGAUGCAACGCGAAGAACCUUACCAGGGUUUGACAUCCUGCGAAUCCCUUGGAAACGAGGGAGUGCCUUCGGGAGCGCAGAGACAGGUGGUGCAUGGCUGUCGUCAGCUCGUGUCGUGAGAUGUUGGGUUAAGUCCCGCAACGAGCGCAACCCACGUCGUUAGUUGCCAGCAUUAAGUUGGGCACUCUAGCGAGACCGCCGGUGAUAAACCGGAGGAAGGUGUGGAUGACGUCAAGUCAUCAUGCCCCUUACAUCCUGGGCUACACACGUACUACAAUGCUACGGACAAAGGGCAGCAAACUCGCGAGAGCUAGCAAAUCCCAUAAACCGUGGCUCAGUUCAGAUCGUAGGCUGCAACUCGCCUACGUGAAGGAAGAAUCGCUAGUAAUCGCAGGUCAGCAUACUGCGGUGAAUACUUUCCCGGGCCUUCUACACACCGCCCGUCACACCAUGGAAGUUGGCCACGCCCGAAGCCGUUACUCCAACCCUUGUGGAGGAGGACGUCGAAGGUGGGGCUGAUGACUGGGGUGAAGUCGUAACAAGGUAGCCGUACCGGAAGGUGUGGCUGGAUCACCUCCUAA